rnacentral:rRNA from 1 species
GAUGAACGCUAGCGGCAGGCCUAAUACAUGCAAGUCGAACGGCAGCGGGUGUAGCAAUACAUGCCGGCGAGUGGCGCACGGGUGCGUAACGCGUAUACAACCUACCUAUAACUGGGAGAUAGCCCGGAGAAAUUCGGAUUAAUACCCCAUAACAUAAUGAAUUGGCAUCUUUUUAUUCUUAAAGAAUUUCGGUUAUAGAUGGGCAUGCGUGACAUUAGAUAGUUGGUGAGGUAACGGCUCACCAAGGCUACGAUGUCUAGGGGUUCUGAGAGGAUGAUCCCCCACACUGGUACUGAGACACGGACUAGACUCCUACGGGAGGCAGCAGUAAGGAAUAUUGGGCAAUGGAGGCAACUCUGACCCAGCCAUGCCGCGUGAAGGAUGACGGCCCUAUGGGUUGUAAACUUCUUUUGUGUGGGAAUAAACCCCGUUACGUGUAACGGGUUGAAUGUACCAUAAGAAUAAGCAUCGGCUAACUCCGUGCCAGCCGCCGCCGUAAGAC